AAAAAGUUGGCAGAUAAAUGCUAUUAAUUUAGAAUUAAUAAAUAGGGUAUUCCCUACUUUUUA
rnacentral:tRNA from 1 species